rnacentral:rRNA from 1 species
AUUGAACGCUGGCGGCAUGCUUUACACAUGCAAGUCGAACGGUAACAGGCCUUCGGGUGCUGACGAGUGGCGUACGGGUGAGUAAUGCAUCGGAACGUACCCAGAGGUGGGGGAUAACGCAGCGAAAGCUGUGCUAAUACCGCAUGUGAUCUGAGGAUGAAAGCGGGGGACCGAGCAGCAAUGUUUGGCCUCGCGCCUUUGGAGCGGCCGAUGUCGGAUUAGCUAGUUGGUGGGGUAAAGGCCUACCAAGGCGACGAUCCGUAGCUGGUCUGAGAGGACGACCAGCCACACUGGGACUGAAACACGGCCCAGACUCCUACGGGAGGCAGCAGUGGGGAAUUUUGGACAAUGGGCGCAAGCCUGAUCCAGCAAUGCCGCGUGCGGGAAGAAGGCCUUCGGGUUGUAAACCGCUUUUGGCAGGAACGAAACGGUGUCCGCUAAUACCGGGCGCUAAUGACGGUACCUGCAGAAUAAGCACCGGCUAACUACGUG